rnacentral:rRNA from 1 species
AAUGAACGUUGGCGGCAUGGAUUAGGCAUGCAAGUCGGGGGAAUCCCAGCAAUGGGGGAACCGGCGUAAGGGGCAGUAAGGCAUGGGUACCUACCUUGGGGUUCGGGAUAGCCAUCAGAGAUGGUGGGUAAUACCGGAUGACGUCGUGAGACCAAAGAUUUAUCGCCCUUAGAGGGGCCCAUGUGAUAUUAGCUAGUUGGUGGGGUAACGGCCCACCAAGGCGAAGAUGUCUAGCGGGUGUGAGAGCACGACCCGCGCCACUCGCACUGAGACACUGGCGAGACACCUACGGGUGGCUGCAGUCGAGGAUCUUCGGCAAUGAGCGCAAGCUUGACCGAGCGAUGCCGCGUGAGCGAUGAAGGCCUUCGGGUUGUAAAGCUCUUUAGUGGGGAGAAAAGCCGCAAGGUGUGAUCUAUCCCAAAAAUAAGCACGGGCUAAGUUCGUGCCAGCCGCCGCAGUAA